UCCGCAGGGGGUAGAUUAAGUCUGAUGUGAAAUCCCUGAGCUUAACUCAGGAACUGCAUUGGAGACUGGUCUACUAGAGUAUCGGAGAGGAGAUUGGAAUUCCAGGUGUAGCGGUGGAAUGCGUAGAUAUCUGGAAGAACACCGAAAGCGAAGGCAGAUCUCUGGACGAUUACUGACCCUCAGGGACGAAAGCGUGGGGAGCAAACA
rnacentral:rRNA from 1 species